rnacentral:rRNA from 1 species
AGUGAACGCUGGCGGUAGGCCUAACACAUGCAAGUCGAACGGCAGCACAGUAAGAGCUUGCUCUUACGGGUGGCGAGUGGCGGACGGGUGAGGAAUACAUCGGAAUCUACUUUUUCGUGGGGGAUAACGUAGGGAAACUACGCUAAUACCGCAUACGACCUACGGGUGAAAGCAGGGGAUCUUCGGACCUUGCGCGAUUGAAUGAGCCGAUGUCGGAUUAGCUAGUUGGCGGGGUAAAGGCCCACCAAGGCGACGAUCCGUGGCUGGUCUGAGAGGAUGAUCAGCCACACUGGAACUGAGACACGGUCCAGACUCCUACGGGAGGCAGCAGUGGGGAAUAUUGGACAAUGGGCGCAAGCCUGAUCCAGCCAUACCGCGUGGGUGAAGAAGGCCUUCGGGUUGUAAAGCCCUUUUGUUGGGAAAGAAAAGCAGCAGGUUAAUACCCCGCUGUUCUGACGGUACCCAAAGAAUAAGCACCGGCUAACUUCGUG